AACGAACGCUGGCGGUAUGCCUAACACAUGCAAGUCGAACGAGAAAGUGAUCUUCGGAUCGCGAGUAGAGUGGCGCACGGGUGAGUAACACGUGGAUAACCUGCCCUAUGGUUCGGGAUAACACUUCGAAAGGGGGUGCUAAUACCGGAUAAGUCUACGAUCCCUACGGGUUUUGUGGGAAAAGAUUUAUUGCCAUAGGAUGGGUCCGCGGUCCAUUAGCUGGUUGGUGGGGUAAUGGCCUACCAAGGCUACGAUGGAUAGCUGGUCUGAGAGGAUGAUCAGCCACACUGGAACUGAGACACGGUCCAG
rnacentral:rRNA from 1 species